UAAGGUCCUGCCGAUAACCCCAAAAUAAUCAGCAUGGUUCUUGGAGUACCACAUGUAUAGCUAGUUCUGGGUGCUGCUGCAAUUCAGAUGGAGGAUCUAUGAUGGGUGGACGACCAAGGAAAAGCAAGCCGUUGAAUUUAGAAAUACCUGCAAGCACACGAGCUUAAGAUCCGAUGCAAACUGCAGGGCUGUCGCCAGCCAAGUUCCCCUUGGCAUCUCAUGGAUGUGAGGUGGAUACUGUGACAUUCAGGUAUUUAGGAAAAAGGCAUGCUAAUUUUUAGUAUAAGUUGUGCUUGUUAGAAUGAAGUGUGUAUUGCUUUGAUGAAUGCUUUAAAAAAAAACCUAAAUGCAAGUUAAAGUGUAUUUUUGUAAUUAUGGAAAAAUUAGGGUUCUUUUGCCAAAUGUGAUUGAAGGUAGAGUAAUUUCAAAUUAUAUGAAGGUUAGUUUUGUAAAGGCAAGAAUUUACUUUUAAACCACUGUAAGAAGUAAAAUUAUCCUAAGGUUUCAUUUGGAGUGUGAAUUUUAAAUAGGUUUUAUGUGAAAUUUGAUAGUUUG